AGUUUGUCACUUAUGAACAUCCAUAGCCUGAUUUUACCCCUAAGCAACACUGCAGAGUGAGCUUCUGGAAACAUUUUCUCUCCUAUGAAAAUAUAAAUUGAUGAUCAGCAGUGCUUAGAUCUAAACAAGGCAAACGCCCUUAUUCUUUCAUUUCCCAUCACCCUCCCUUCUCCCCCUGACACCCCACCUCACAUCUCCCUGAAAGAUCUCCUUUCUCUCCACUGGGUGGUGGUUGACUUAUAAGUGUGAAUUGCACAAAAUCAGUGUACAUGGUAAGUCUAAGGUGAAAGAGAGUGGAUAUGUUUCUGCUUGAAUCAUGCAACAUAGUUAAAUGUAAUGAUGUGGGUGUGGUAUAUGACUUACACCUUUCGAAACACACUUAUGAUUCCAAAUUUGCAUGUGAUUCUAUUAUAAUUUCUAAUGUACACUAAUAACAUGUUUUUAUAACAUUUGUAAAUACAAAAUACAAAAUGCCACUGAAUGUGUGUAUAAGUAACAAGUAUAACAUAGUAAAAUAACUCUUCUUGUUGGUAAGAGUGAUGAGCUCUUUGUCACAUAGAGGAUGUAAAUAAAACUCAUAUUUAUGCUUUUAUUAAGUUUGUUUUAGAAGUUUGAACACAGUAGUAAGGACUAAACAUUGUCUUCAGAGGUUGCAAACACAUAUCAUGAGAGAAGCAAUAUGUUCAUAGCAGCGGUAUUGCUUAUUUGUAAUGAGGCUUACCAUUUUCAACCUAAAGGAUUUGGUAGACUACUUUUGGGUGCGUGAUAUAUCUUGGCAUUGGGUUUUUAAAGAACAAUCUAAUAAAUACUGUGGUUAAUUAAAAUAGCUGGACUCACAUUCCGCUUCCAGGAACCAAUGUUUAGUUCACUCAUUGCUUCCAACAGACAAGCAUCCCUAAUAUGUGGGGACAAUGACUUUCCAGUGUUGUUGGUUUGGUGCAUUCCUUAUUUACUUGGUGUGCACUGUACCUCAUCCAUUUACAUGCUGUCUCCUGAGUUUUGUCAUAUCUUAUUUUAGGAAACUCUUGACUUUUAAACUUCUUACAGAGAAAAGAAUAUGUCUCUUCUCAAUAAUGUUUCUAACCAAUUGGUUUUUAGUUUUUAAAUAAUUAUUUUUUCAUAUGAAAUAAAAAUUUGAUCUUUAUUACUUUUUACCCAAAGCAACUUGUUUAUAGUAAUUCUUAUUUUCUAGGAAGUAUCCAAUUGCUGAGCUUUUUAUUGUCCAUAGGUUUUAAGCUAAUUUAACAUAUUUAUUUGCAGGAAAUUCUCUAUCAAAAAAUGUUACAUGUUGUCAGUUAUUUUUCUUGACUCUUCUUGUGCAGCUGAUAUUUGCUCUGUUCAUAGACCAAUACAGAUAGAGCUUAGGGACUAAUUGAGUGUAGGCAACUGAAAUGACAUAUUUUUCAUCAAGAAUAAUGCCACAGUUAUAUUUUAUUUUUACGUUGUAUGCUUAAAAUCAUAUUUGAUGUUAUUCUCUAAUUCAUUAGAAAACAAAACAAAACAAAAAUCUACCCUUUAAGCAUACACCCCUUCCCCAUCGAAGUACAUGGAUGGAGUGCUCAAGAAAACACUUAACUGAAUUACAUGAUACCAUUUAUCAAGCUUUACACAAUAUAUUCUGUUUUAAUGUAACAUAUUUCCUCAAAGUGUCUGUAAUAAAAAGCAAAUAGUGGCAUAACAGUUAUCAAAUAACUUUAAGUGGUAAAGGCCUUAAAGUGCAAACAUGCCAGUCACUGACUCUGUUGCUUGUGGUUACAUUAAUGAAAUAGAAGUUUAAAGGUCAAAUGAUACAUUUCUAUCUCCUCAGUGCCAGAAUGUCUAGUUUUUUAGAAGAGAAUCAAGAAAAACAAAACUUUCCUUAAAUGGAGUUAUAAUACCCAAGGGAAAUACAUUCUGUUAUCUACUGACUAUAGCUAUCAUUUUGUGAAUCUUUCUCUGUUUAGCUUAAAAGGAGGACUUAUAAUGAAAUUCCACUAACAAUAGUAACACCACUUAUUUCUUUUAGAAGGAUUUUUAAAAAAGAAAAAAAAAUUAACAUCUUUUUCAUUUUAACUUUACCGUUUAAGGUUAGUGAAGCCAUAUAGUAAAUGUCAAGAUGUCCCUUACUUUUAAUAACGUCAUUCACUGGUAAAUCUCUGAAGGAUUCACUUGGAUUAUUUGGACUUUCUUGAUAAUGUAUUUAAUGAUGCAUAUAUCCAAGGUAAUCAUGUUUGGUAUCUCUCUUACUUAAAUUUUGGAUUUAACCAGAUACAUGAAUGUCUAUAUUAUAAUUUUCUAUGCACACAAGUUAUUUUUAUUAACUUAUUAAAUAUAGACUAUGAUUGCCACUACACUUAAUGCAUAUAAUAUUCUUAACAAAACUUGUUAAUCUGUGUAUGGAGACAUUAACUUUUUCUCCAUUCUUCAAGUUGCAUUUUGUAGUGCAUGGAAGAUCUCAGUUAAUGUGUCAUUGGGUGACAUAGUAAAGAACAGGAAUGCUAGAACCACAUGGGUGGUGCUUCAGGACCCAGUGUUUCUAGACCUGGAGAAUUGAGGAGAAUAUAACCAUGCUUUAGAUCAAUAUAUAAAUUUCAGAUGACUUUUUAAAGUAUAAUUUUGCACUUAAACUUUAAUGUGAAUCCUUUCCUUUACUCUUACCUUAUUAACAAAUACCAUUAUGUAAACAUGUUGAAAAUGUUUAAUGUUCUUUGGAAACAAUACUAUGAACAUCCUCAUUUACAUCCUCCUAGCUCCUGCACAUUUUAAAAACACAUGUCAUUUUUAAACUAAUAUUUUCAAUCUGUUUCUUAUUCAACCCUUCUGUAUGAAUUUUGUACAUUUUUAGCUGCCUUCCUGAUAUGAAUUCAAAAUAUCCUAUUAUCUGCUUGUCAUGCUUUAAUCGAAGGAAGGAAGAUAGAUUCUUCCCUUAAUUGUGGUAUCUUAUUUUACCUUAGCAAAGUUGAACACAACUCUGUCAUUUUAAUGCAAUGGAUUUGAAUGGAAGAUAUAUGACAUCCUACUAUGAUAUUGUACAAUGGAAGAAGACUUUUGCAUAGAGCAUAGGGCACAUUUCUACCCUAUUGAAAAUUACAAAAGUUUUGCAAGCAUAUUUAUAAAUGGAUAUGACAAGUAUUUAUUACUUAGCCUAUUUGUAAAAUACAGUUUGCCUUUUGAUUAGAUAACAUUAAUUAGUUUUGCUUUGAAGUGCAUACUAUUGCUUACAAUAAAAUAAAUGAUUUCUAUAUGAGAGUACAGUAAAAAUAGUGGUAAAAAUUAAUUAUUCUAUACUUUUGGAAUAUCACUGGAGAGUCUCACAUUUUCUGUUGAGUUAUUCUGACACAUUGAUGCAUCAUGUAUUCCAAAUACACUGUUCAGCUAUAUAGGUCUUUUCAGUUUAGGACAUUGAAGUACAUUUUAAAACCUAUAUGCUUCUUAAAUAGUGUCAUUGAACAAAUAUUUUUUAGAUUCUGAUGUUUUUCCUUCUUAAAAAAGGGAGGUGUAAUGGAUUAUCAUAAUGAGUCAAUCUAGAAAAAUAUGUUUCAGAAUAUGGAAUAAAAUUCUAAAUGUUACCUGUAGUGAUUUGAAGAGCCAUUCUAGUAGCAUGUAUUGUUUGAUGAAUCAAUAUACAACUGUUUAAAACAUUUAAUUUUUAAUUAAGUUUUUUAAUUUUUUUAAAUUUUCUAGAUGAACUUAUUCUGAAAUUGAAAAACCCAUGCGGUUGUAUAAAUAUUUGAAUACAUGUACGUUAAUGAACUACUUAUUUUAGAUAGAUUGGCUUUACAAUUAAAUGGCUUCAUAGAAUGAGCCAUUAAUUCUGCAGUACUUCUGUUAAAAAUGUUCACAUCACAGUCUGUGUCAGUUAUGCGCCUGAUUGAUCUGAUACAUUGUUCAUUCUUCUGCUCUUCUGUGUUAUUGAGGUUAAGGGAUGUAGCUAAUCCUUCAGUCUGCCGUUCCCAGUCUUUCACAUCAACUGUCUUCAAGCUGUGGUUGGCCAAUGGAACCUAGUUUUGGGAGAAGGGAAGAGGUGAUGAAGUGAGAGGCUAGAGUAUUUCUCCCUUCCUUCAUUGUUUUGGGCAGUGUCCAGCAGUGUGUCCAUCACCCAUUGGGACCUUUUUGUUCCAGGUUCUGCCUGAUAAUUAACUCCUGGGCUUUUGUUUACUGCCUUAUCCUAUUAUUCAUCCACCCUAAUAGCAGUAGUGACUUCCUGCUGUUAUUAACCACUGGUUUAUCUCACCAUUAUCAGUUAGGCUUCCCAGUGAUUCUGUACCUUUUCUAAUAAAUUUCCUGCAUUAAACCCCUUCUAUUUUAAAUAUCCAGAAUGAUUUCAGUGAUGCUUGUAGAACCCUAAUUGAUACAGAGUGAAAAGUAAUAGUUCCAGUGAUUUUUAAAGUAUUUGAAUGACUACUUUGCUCUUGGCACCGUAAAUGUUGCUCACUAGCAAUGGAUAUAGUGGUUGUUUAAGGAGACGUGCAUAAAAGUUAAAUCAUAACAUUGAGGCAUAUUGCAAAGAAGAAAAAUGGAUACAUUGAGUUUUUUUCCAUGCACAGAUUAUGGUGAGAAUAUUAAACCAAUGAAUAAAUAUUGAAUUAGUGCACUAUUUAAUGAACAGUUGCAGUAAGAAAAUAUAUAAUGUUGCUUUGUGUGGUAAAUAAAGUUGAUGAGUAUGUAUUGACAAGAUUCAAUAAUUCUGUAUCUUUUUUUGACUGAACAAAAGAGAACUAGGAUUAAAUCAUGCUUGAGCAUAUGUAAUCAAAAUGCUAAGACAAUUCCUACAGUUGUAGUCUAUUGAAUUCAAUAAAAAUUAAAAUUCUUUCUUUCAUAUGGCUUAAUAUCUAAGGAGCUAAUCAAAGUUUCUAGUUAUGAAGUAUAUGACCAUAACAAUGCCCGUGAUUCAAGUAUUUGACUGUUGGAGGAAUUAGUCUCUCAAAGCAGUGAGUCUCUUUGAUUAAAAAAAUCAUAUAAUUUUUUUUUACCAUAUCUUGUUUCAAAGUGGCAUAAAUUAAGACAUUAUAGACAUCACAUGGUUUAUACAGAAUAGCGAAUGGAAGUUUCAAAACUGGGCAUUGGGUUUUGAUUUUUCUGUUGUUUUUUUUUUAACUUCUCUCUUAACCAAAUAUUAGAUAGUGACCUUCCCCAUAACUUAUACAAAACACUUUCUGAAAGACACUUAUAUAGGUAUCUGGUUCCAGUAUAAACAAUCAUCAAGACCCACUUUUGGUAAAUAGUUUUACAGGAAUAAUGUUAAUUUAAGACCAUUAUUAAUUAAAUGAUCCUUUCUCAAGGAUACUCUAGAAAGAAUUUCUGAAUUGGAAGGGAAGUUGAAUUUCUUGAUCUUCUCCAUUCCAUCUCUCUCAGAGUUUGCUGAUCUACUAAAGUUUGUGAUUGAUACUUUCUGUGUAUGUGAGAAAUAAAAUUUAUUGCUCUGUUUUUCCCUAGGAGCAUCAUAUAACUUUUUGCUUUUCUAAAGAAAAUUUUAAAUUGGGCCAUAUUUUGUCAUAUAUUUUAUGUAUUUCAAAUUAACAAGUGAAAACAAUAACUCCUUAUACUACUAGAGAGUAAUAUCUAGAAUUUUUCUGCAUAUGCAUAAUCAUCAUCAAAUUGUAUUUAAUUACUAUAUCUAAUUACAGAAAAAUGUGGAAGAUGUUGAAGAAAUUAAAUAAUAGAAAUUAUUUGAUGUUUUGCCAAAAUGUACUUUCUGUUCUUCUUUGCUAUAUUAAUUUUGAUUGGAAAAACACCUGGAUUUGUAAGUGUUAUAACUCUUGUUCAUCUAUCUCUAGGGCUGUAGCACAGAACCUUGCAUAUAUCAGGCCAAUAUCUACUAAAUGUUGAAUUAAUGAAUCACUGGAAGGCUUCAAUUAAAUGAAAUCAAUACAGAUACAGAGGUAGAGAGAGUUGGCUAUUGCUAUGGAUGAAUAACUCUCAAUAUGAAAAGUAGCUACACUCCCAAACCAGAACAGAACUUUUGUUAUCAUUCCAACCCAUCUCCCAGAGGUAGGUCAACAGUACUUUAUAAACCACAGGGUAUUGAUACUAGCAGAUAGAAUUUUAAUGUGGUCAUGUGGCUUUGAUUUAUAAUGUUGAGAAGGUUAUCUAUUAGCAUAGUGGUUUCUAAGCCAUAUCAAGUUCUGAAUCCUGAGAGAGGACCUUUGGUGCUCAAAAGCAUCCAGCUGGCAUGGGAAUUGGUCUCUUAAUCACUUUCUCUAAGAAGAGGGGAAUAGAGGAAGGGAGGAAUUUGGCAGUGUUGCCAGCAUUAAAUGUUGCUGUUUUGAACAAAAGCCAAUACAUUGUACUUUCCAAAUAGCUGGUAAUUUGCUCAAUUUAAGAAACAUGUUUAUAACCCUUUUUAGACCAGAAUGAAAUUGUUCUGUACUGAAUUUUUCUAUUUAUAAGUCAUUUAGACAUAGGUCUACUGCCCAUAUUCAUACUAUGUUAUGGGUUUUUUGUUUGUUUAUUUUAAACUGUGGCUAUUGCUAUGAAGCAUUUAAAGGUUUUGGAUGACUUAAAUGGCCAUGGGAAAUGCAUGUUCUGUUGUCUUCAGAAACAGCUUUCCUCUCAUACAUCUAAGUUAAAUUUAGAAAUAUUAAAUGGAUUUAAGAGCUGUUGUGAAUAUAACAGUUGUAAUUAGAAGGCAUUGUUGGUAUAUUACCUCCAACAAUGUUUCAUCUUUUGUAUGGGAAUAUUAAAUUAAUAAAUCAAGGGUUCAAAGAGUUUUCUUAAUAUUAUAAAUAGAAUAUUAAUUAUAGGAGAACAUAUUUAAAUAUAUAAUAUUUGGUUUAUAAGUAACUAUUUUCGAAAUUAAUAUCUUGAGUAAUUUAUCAGUUGGAUAGAAAAUGGCAUCUCUACUGUGUAACACAGUGCCUGGGACUUAUUUGUGUUUGAAACCCAAACAUUGGGUUGAAGGGAUGUAAGAGGAGAGGGAAAAAGGGAAGGAAGAAAAAAGGGAGGGAGGAAAUUGUGUUAUGCUACAUGAGUGACUUCUAUUCAAACUGCCUAAAACUUUAGAUCACUUGGGAUGGCAUAAAAUUAAGCCCAUAAAUUACAUUAUGUAAAACUACAAUAAGAGAAAAUGCAUUUCAUUUUGUUUAAUAUAUUAAUUAAUAUUGGAAUUAUUGGAAUAAUUCUAAACUUAUAUCCUCCCAAUGAUAAAGUGAAAUAUGUUAUAUAAUACAAAUUGAAGAUCUAGCAUCAUAGUUUUCACUUAGGCAUAUGCUUUAUGUCUUAGUUGAUAGUCUGUUUAUAUUAAUUUUAGAGUAUAGAUAAUAUCUCUAUAUGUUGGUCUGCAAUAGUAUCAGGGGCCAUUUUUUUGUAAAAUGUUUACAAAAGGAAAUUAUAUAUAUAGUAAAUCCUUAUCUAACAUCAUCAAUAGGUUUUUGGAAACUAUGACUUUAAGUAAAAUAAGAAAAGAAUGUAUAAUGAAAACAACUUUUUCUCUCAUCAACAUUGUAAGGAACUGAUAUGGAACAAAGUGAUGUUAUUCUUGUUCCUGUUGUACAAUGUUUCACUUGAAGUUGCAGUUUUCAAGAACCUAUCCACAAUGUUAAGGGAGGAUUUACUAUAAAUUUUUGAAUAAUUCUUCACUUCUCUUAUUGAGCUUGUAUCAUUGAUUUAUUGUUUUGCUAAUACAUCAUUAACAUGAAAUAAUAGUAUGAAUAUUUACUUUUGCUUAUGUAUAAAGUUUAUUGUCUAUUGUGAUUGCUUAGUUUUAUUGAAAUUGGUCAUAUUUUGAGGUGUCCAGAAUGCAAGUGACCAGAGUUUGAUUUCCUGCUUUUCUAAUUACUGGUUGUGUGACCUUGAACAAAAGCCUUAACUCUCCAGCAGAACUACAUGGAUUAAAUUUGAUAUUGUAUGUAAAAAGCUCAAUAUGUAAGACAUAGUACUAAAUUUAUAUCAGCUCAUAAUUUUAUGCUGCUUUUCUUCUCCUAAUCUCAAUCUGAUAUUUAUUGGCAUUUGACUCCAAAUCUGGAAGAAGAAAAACACCAAAAAACGUUUUACCUAUUAGGAUGUAGACUCAGAGUACUUAAAAGCACUGUAAUCACAGAUUUUAUGCUCAACAGAAUGAUAGUGUUUUGAUUCUUUUACCAUAAGUGAGAGAGCACUGUAAUUGCAUAAUCUCAUGAAACACUGAGUACAUAAAGGAGAAAUGAGAAGAGACAGAAGAGAAGAAAUAAGAGGGAUGAGAAAUAUGAUGUAAUGGCAGGGAAAGAGAGGGUGAAGAUUACCAUUUGUGACAGAUUUUAGAAUGGAAAAUGUGAUAGCUGGUGACAAUAUUGGAAUACUUCAUAAGAGGGUUAGAAUAAAAAUAUAGCCAACUCUGGAUUCUGGAUAAGGUAGCAAAUAAUUAUCCAGGAUUAGAUAUGUCUUUAUGGGUCUUCAGGGCAUGUGUAUUUUAUGCUGAAGACAGUGUGGUUCAAAAGCUGUCUGUAUGGACAAGAACUUUCCCUAUACCUUGCCAUUUUAGCCAUAGAUAAUAUACUGAAUAGCAGCUCAUAAAUUAUGUGUGAAUACUUGCUCUAAUUCUGCAUAUUUGCAAAGUGCAUGCUAGAAUGUUUUAUGUUCAUAAUAAUGGAGCCAUGAACACCAUGAUUCAGAUUCAACUCACACUCUGGGAGUAUCUACUGUGUAUUACAUACUUUCACAGGCAAUAUGCAAUAAGGUAUUGGUUUCCCACUGUUAUAGCCAAGUAGGCUUGCAAAGGUAAGGUAACUUGCCCCGGGUGCAACAGGUAGGGAGUGACUGAGCCAGAACUCAAAUCUAGGUCCUUUAUUCCGAGCCAAGUACUUUUUCCAUUAUCUUUUAUCUAUUACUAAGAAAGAUAAAAGCAAUUUACAAAUUUAUUGCUUAUUUGGAUACUAAGCAUUUAUUGAGCACCAACAACAUUUUAACUACUGUUACAUCCACAGUGGUAAACAAUAAUCAAGGUGUUACGUUAUAUAUUUGAGGGAAAAUGUGAAAUUGUUUAAAUGAGACUAAGUACUUAGCGUGUAUAUUAAAUGUAUAUGCCAUAUAUUAAAUAUAUAUCAAAUAGUCACAAGCAUUUACUGGAUAGGAAAAUAGUGAAUUCUUAAAACUACUACAGAUAUUGUGGAAAAAAAAUCUUUUAUCCAAAAAUGAUUUCAUUCCUAAUAAUUACAAACUACUGAUAACAGAAGAGAAAAAGUAAAAAGCUAUUGAACAUUGUUUGUAGUUGGGUAUAUAUAACUAAAUUAUAUAUUAGGUACUUCAAUGAAUCCUUGAAACAAACCAUAAUUUUUCUACUUUACAAGUAGGGAAACAGCCUCAUAGAACCUGAGUAAUUUGCUGAACUUUAAUAUAGCUAGUAGAUGCAUAAUCAGGAUUUGAUCCUAGGCCUGUGUGUCUCCAAAGCCCAUGCUCAUUCUUUUUAAAGCUACAAUAUUUCCUGGAGCUUUUUGUAUACUUAUAGUCCUUAAUAGAAAUGAGAAGCAGUAGUUCUUGCUAUUGUGUUGCAGGUCCCUAGUUUAAUCAUUUGAAUGCUAAUUCUGGUAUAACUCUGAACAACCGAAUCACCUUGAUUUACUCCUUUGAAAAUGGUUAGGCAGCAUAAGAGUGUUGAGCACUAUUAUUUCCCAAGAUAGACAGAAAGAUCAAAAAAUUCAGAGACCUAUAAAAGAUCCUUUUACUCCAAUUUCAUUAAACAUGUCAGUAAUAUGUUACAGAGUCUUAGGUUUAAUUGCUAUCAAUAAAUAAAAUCAAACAUAUUAGACAUGUUGCCUUAUUCUGCUUGCUGGUAAAAAGUGCAUGUAUAGUAUAUAGCCUAAUUGAGUGAAAACUUGUUUUUAUCUGAUCGUGUGUAAUUUAAAAAUCUUUUAAAAUGUGCUUACAUAUCCACAUUCUACAGACUUUAUGUAUGUAUCUGAGAGGAGUGUAAAUUUCUUUCU